rnacentral:lncRNA from 1 species
UGCUUCUCUGUGGCUGGGUGAGGGUAGCUCCCAAGGGGCAUCCAUUUCCCCACAUUCUCUGCCUACUGUAGGGGAGGAAGAGCGCGCUCCAGGGGCAAGAGAAGGUGCCAAUACCAAGAACCCAGGCCCUGGCAGUGAGAAGACAGGCCUUCGGCACUAGAGUGGCAAGCCCCAGGGACACAGGCAGGGCACCAGCAGCACCUGCCACCGCACAGCGUUGGGCAAGAGGAAGGAAAAAGUGGAAGCAGCAGCUCAGAGAGGAACAGAGCAUUGUCAAAUCCUCACAACAGCUGGAGGAGGAAAGUUCUGUUGUUUUCCCAAUUUUACAAAAGUGGAAACUAAGGCCCAAGAUCACACAACCAAAAAAAAUGAUAGGACUUCGAUUGAAAACCAGUUGACUGAUCUUGAUGUGCAGGCAAAUAAGCCUGCCAAGGGGAGGAAUACAGGAGAUUCAAAGCCUGGCCUUUCGGUUACUUUGCGGUUCCUGCCUCUUUCUCGUAUUAUUCUUUCCCCACUGUUCCUCAGCACCGGAUCAGAUUGCCCACAUUGGCUGCCUACAAUGACCUAAUCAACUGGAUAGCUAUUCAGCACUUCGUUUCUCUAUAUGCCGAGUGCACACAGUCUAGAAACAACUUUGAACCUGAGAUGAAGAAAGUUCCCAUUGUGAGCCAUCCGAAAUAACUAGCAAGAGUUUGCCAAUUACCACAUCAUGGAAAUUUAACACUAACAGCAGUUGACUGUGGGUUAUAAAAGAAAAAGAAAUUCUUUACGAAAUAAAUUAGUGAAAUCAAAACAUUACUUUAGACCAUCAAAAUUAUGCAAAUUCUGCCUGUCUUCACAUUUUUUAGUCAAUUUAUUGCCAAUGCGGUGUGUAUAUUCAAUAUUCUAAGGAUUUCUGUGGGAAUAACUUCAUUGUAAGAUAAACAAGUUUAGUCACUGACAUAUAAAUGUAGCCACUGGAAUAAAAAUGAAAUGGGUCCAGCCUAUUACAGUACCCAGAAUUUUCCAUAUGUCUAUUCCAUUGUAGCUGCCAAAGUCACCAUUCCUUGUCAACCUCUAAUUGGACACCAGGCCUAAAAGCCUUCAAGGAUGGGGAGAGUCCUUUUGAGCUCUCGGAUCCAAAACUUCAACCUACUCCAG